AUACUUACCUGGGCGGGGUUGGUCGAUAAUUUGUGGUAGCAGAGGCUCGCGUUCGCGCGGCCUCCAC
rnacentral:snRNA from 9 species